AACCACCUGAGAAUGGGUAAAGAGACACCGUGUUCUUGGCAUUGUUCUUAUAUCAGUCAGGGGCAGAGCAGACAACAGUCCUUUGUUCAUCCUAGCUUCAUACCUGGCCUGGUGUCCAGAGCUGUCCUAUGUCUAGGACACAGAA